CACCAGGUUGAUUCUGCCUGACGUAGACGCUAUACUCUAAGAUUAACCCAUGCAUGUUAUUGAAUAUAAAGAAAAGACGAACAGCUCAGUAACUCUUAUUUUAUUUGAUGUAUUAGGACUAUAACUAUGUUAAAUUAUAGAUAACAAUAAUACAAUAAGAAUAAGAUCUAUCAGUUAGUUGUUAAGGUAAUGGCUUAACAAGACUAUGACGGAUAACGGUAUUACUUUGUAAUAUUCCGGAGAAGGAGCCUGAGAGAUUGCUACUAAGUCUAAGGAUUGCAGCAGGGGCGAAACUUGACCUAUGAUAUGAUAUUGAGGCAGUUAUGAGUAGUAUUUUUAAUUAUUGUAGUAUUGUAAGUAUAUACUACAAGAUAAAUCGGAGGGCAAAUCGAGUGCCAGCAGCCGCGG
rnacentral:rRNA from 1 species